UGAGAUUCCCAGGUGUUUCCAUUCGGUGAUCAGCACUGAACACAGAGAACUCACCAUGGAGUUUGGACUGAGCUGGGUUUUCCUUGUUGCCAUUUUAAAAGGUGUCCAGUGUGAAGUGCAGCUGGUGGAGUCUGGGGGAGGCGUGGUACAGCCUGGGGGGUCCCUGAGACUCUCGUGUGCAGCCUCUGGAUUCACCUUUGAUGAUUAUGCCAUGGGCUGGGUCCGCCAAGCUCCAGGGAAGGGUCUGGAGUGGGUCUCUGGUAUUAACUGGAAUGGUGGUAGCACAGGCUAUGCAGACUCCGUGAAGGGCCGAUUGACCAUCUCCAGAGACAACGCCAAGAACUCCCUGUCUCUGCAAAUGAACAGCCUGAGAGCUGAGGACACGGCCGUGUAUUACUGUGCGAAAGACACGGUGAGGGGAAGUCAGUGAG